rnacentral:rRNA from 1 species
CAGUAGCCGCGGUAAUACGGAGGGCGCGAGCGUUACCCGGAUUUACUGGGCGUAAAGGGCGUGUAGGCGGCCUGGGGCGUCCCAUGUGAAAGGCCACGGCUCAACCGUGGAGGAGCGUGGGAUACGCUCAGGCUAGAGGGUGGGAGAGGGUGGUGGAAUUCCCGGAGUAGCGGUGAAAUGCGCAGAUACCGGGAGGAACGCCGAUGGCGAAGGCAGCCACCUGGUCCACUUCUGACGCUGAGGCGCGAAAGCGUGAGGAGCAAACCGGAUUAGAUACCCGCGUAGUCCCUGUCUCUUAUAC